rnacentral:tRNA from 1 species
GAUAUGGAGGCUUAGUGGUAAAGCGCUUGGCUUCCGAACCAGGGUCCCGGGUUCUAAUCCUGGUCAGGACU